UGCGAAUGGCUCAUUAAAUCAGUUAUCGUUUAUUUGAUAGUACCUUACUACAUGGAUACCUGUGGUAAUUCUAGAGCUAAUACAUGCUAAAAACCCCGACUUCAGGAAGGGGUGUAUUUAUUAGAUAAAAAACCAACGCCCUUCGGGGCUCCUUGGUGAAUCAUAAUAACUUAACGAAUCGCAUGGCCUUGCGCCGGCGAUGGUUCAUUCAAAUUUCUGCCCUAUCAACUUUCGAUGGUAGGAUAGUGGCCUACCAUGGUGGCAACGGGUAACGGGGAAUUAGGGUUCGAUUCCGGAGAGGGAGCCUGAGAAACGGCUACCACAUCCAAGGAAGGCAGCAGGCGCGCAAAUUACCCAAUCCCGAUACGGGGAGGUAGUGACAAUAAAUACUGAUACGGGGCUCUUUUGGGUCUCGUAAUUGGAAUGAGAACAAUUUAAAUCCCUUAACGAGGAACAAUUGGAGGGCAAGUCUGGUGCCAGCAGCCGCGGUAAUUCCAGCUCCAAUAGCGUAUAUUAAAGUUGUUGCAGUUAAAAAGCUCGUAGUUGAACCUUGGGUCUGGCUGGCCGGUCCGCCUCACCGCGAGUACUGGUCCGGCUGGACCUUUCCUUCUGGGGAACCUCAUGGCCUUCACUGGCUGUGGGGGGAACCAGGACUUUUACUGUGAAAAAAUUAGAGUGUUCAAAGCAGGCCUUUGCUCGAAUACAUUAGCAUGGAAUAAUAGAAUAGGACGUGCGGUUCUAUUUUGUUGGUUUCUAGGACCGCCGUAAUGAUUAAUAGGGAUAGUCGGGGGCGUCAGUAUUCAGCUGUCAGAGGUGAAAUUCUUGGAUUUGCUGAAGACUAACUACUGCGAAAGCAUUCGCCAAGGAUGUUUUCAUUAAUCAGGGAACGAAAGUUAGGGGAUCGAAGACGAUCAGAUACCGUCGUAGUCUUAACCAUAAACUAUGCCGACUAGGGAUCGGACGGGAUUCUAUGAUGACCCGUUCGGCACCUUACGAGAAAUCAAAGUUUUUGGGUUCUGGGGGG
rnacentral:rRNA from 1 species